rnacentral:lncRNA from 1 species
GCUAAUAUGUGUAAAGCUGUGCUAAAUGGAGGACAAUACCUGUUAUGGAAGGUUGCCAAUGAGGAAUUUUGCAAGGAGACGGCUGGGCGAAAUGCAGCAGCCGGUUAUCCUCAGAGAAAUCUAGAUAUGUUGUUAGGAAAGGGACCUUAUGAGGAUCAGCAGCAACAAAUUGCAUAUGGUCCGUCCACCAAAAAUUCAAAUACGAGUAGAUCAACUCAAAUCACUUAAUGACUUUCAAAAGUUAUUAGGAGACAUAAAU